UGGGGGGGGGGGGGGGGUGGAGGGGGUCAGAUGCCCCCUGAGCAGCUGGGGUUGCUUAGAGAGAUCCUUUUCACUGGCUGCCAGGUCUUACACUGAGCUGGGGAAGCCUGUGAUUUAUGAAGCAAACUCAUUUGUAAAUGAGUGGCGCUCGACUCCAAAACGGCCGAACCUGCUGAUGAGAGACAGAGAGGGGAGCAAGAGACACUCAGCUAACAGCUUCUCUCUGAGGAGAUACGGCCCGUCUCACUUGCACACCACAGGUCAAUGGUCCAUAUGACGAUCAGGAACAGAGCUGCUUCAUCAUACCAGGCUGGCACACAAUAGGCACAGAGGACACGGGGCAUGAGGGUUUGGAAGGUGGUCCUAUAGGGGUUUGGAAGGACCUUAACCCCUACAGCCCUAUAGGACCUUAACCCCUACAGCCCUAUAGGACCUUAACCCCUACAGCCCUAUAGGACCUUAACCCCUACAGCCCUAUAGGACCUUAACCCCUAUAGGACCUUAACCCCUACAGGACCUUAACCCCUAUAGGACCUUAACCCCUACAGGACCUUAACCCCUACAGGACCUUAACACCUAUAGGAUCUUAACCCUUGUAGAAGCUUAACCUCUAUAGGACCUUGACCCUUAUAGAAGCUUAAGGGUAAUCAGGCUUCAGUCGUUUGUUGAUGUGAAACAUUGUGAUAAAAUCCUACUAAUACUGUACUGUUGCAUCAGUCUAACAGCUAAUAUUAGUAAAGCAGAGCAGCUCCCUCUGGCAGACCUAAACAGCAGGAGAUAGAGAAAUGAGGAGAGGAGAGGGGGGGGGUUCUAGAGGGGAGGAUGGAGGAGUGGAGAUCGAGGAAUGAUGGAGGGGUGAGGAGAGCAGGGGGUAUCAAUUUUCCUCCAUCCCUGGAGGGGACAGUUAGUGGGAGGGGGAAGCAGGUGCAUGGGAAUUCAAAGCUCAUUGCAUAUGCAUGUGCAUGCUGCUCCAAGGAAACCACCAUCAGCCUGGCUUGGGGAGAGAACAUAGAGGUGGGAAUGACAACACAAAGGACUGAAAGGGACUCUGCAUGCUCUUGCCAUCACCUACUAGUGCUACCACCAAGCUGUGCUGGUUGUCCCCAGUCAACACUGGAACUAAUGUGCUUGAACAGGACAUCUAUUGGGGCCUACCAGUAUCAAAGAGCUUCCUCUGCCACUGCCUGUUCCAACAAGGCUCCGCCUGGUAACAACAUGGUAACCACAGGACAGGGGCUCCCUGCAUGAGAACAUCAAAUCACAGCAACCUCGCAACACAAAGGCCCCUAGCAACAUGACAAGGGCCACAAUGACAUCACAUAGAGACUACACCGACCUCACAUAGAGAUCAAUGCAGCUUUUCAUUUGCCUGGGUACCUAAACAUUGGCCGAUCGCCUAACAGUUGUUUUGGAGAAACAACUACAGCCAUAUUGAUUUGUUCUUAGAUGGAUAUGAUGUGUUGAUUUGUUCUUAGAUAGAUAUGAUGUGUUGAUUUGUUCUUAGAUAGAUAUGAUGUGUUGAUUUGUUCUUAGAUGGAUAUGAUGUGUUGAUUUGUUCUUAGAUAGAUAUGAUGUGUUGAUUUGUUCUUAGAUAGAUAUGAUGUGUUGAUUUGUUCUUAGAUAGAUAUGAUGUGUUGAUUUGUUCUUAGAUAGAUAUGAUGUGUUGAUUUGUUCUUAGAUAGAUAUGAUGUGUUGAUUUGUUCUUAGAUAUGAUGUGUUGAUUUGUUCUUAGAUAGAUAUGAUGUGUUGAUUUGUUCUUAGAUAGAUACGAUGUGUUGAUUUGUUCUUAGAUAUGAUGUGUUGAUUUGUUCUUAGAUAGAUAUGAUGUGUUGAUUUGUUCUUAGAUAGAUACGAUGUGUUGAUUUGUUCUUAGAUAUGAUGUGUUGAUUUGUUCUUAGAUAGAUAUGAUGUGUUGAUUUGUUCUUAGAUAGAUACGAUGUGUUGAUUUGUUCUUAGAUAGAUACGAUGUGUUGAUUUGUUCUUAGAUAGAUACGAUGUGUUGAUUUGUUCUUAGAUAGAUACGAUGUGUUGAUUUGUUCUUAGAUAGAUAUGAUGUGUUGAUUUGUUCUUAGAUAGAUAUGAUGUGUUGAUUUGUUCUUAGAUAGAUACGAUGUGUUGAUUUGUUCUUAGAUAGAUACGAUGUGUUGAUUUGUUCUUAGAUAGAUACGAUGUGUUGAUUUGUUCUUAGAUAGAUACGAUGUGUUGAUUUGUUCUUAAAUAUGAUGUGUUGAUUUGUUCUUAGAUAGAUACGAUGUGUUGAUUUGUUCUUAGAUAUGAUGUGUUGAUUUGUUCUUAGAUAGAUACGAUGUGUUGAUUUGUUCUUAGAUAGAUACGAUGUGUUGAUUUGUUCUUAGAUAGAUACGAUGUGUUGAUUUGUUCUUAGAUAUGAUGUGUUGAUUUGUUCUUAGAUAGAUAUGAUGUGUUGAUUUGUUCUUAGAUAGAUACGAUGUGUUGAUUUGUUCUUAGAUGGAUAUGAUGUGUUGAUUUGUUCUUAGAUAGAUAUGAUGUGUUGAUUUGUUCUUAGAUAGAUACGAUGUGUUGAUUUGUUCUUAGAUAGAUAUGAUGUGUUGAUUUGUUCUUAGAUAGAUACGAUGUCUUGAUUUGUUCUUUCUUCUCUCUGUGUGUUACUGGGCUCCUUUCAUAAACUGUGUCUGUAUAAAUGGGCACCAAACAGACGCAGAGGCUGAAUCUGAUACUAUGUAGAGAGAUUUAUUAUACAGUCCUGACAGCCCGGAGGGAGGGAGACAAGGAAGAAGUGUGUGUGUUUGGGAGGGGGGGGCUCCUCUACCCUGCUAGGCAGUGUAAUAACCUUUUAAAUCAUGUUUGACGUUUUUAAGUUGGGCACAGUGGUGAUCCUGGCAAUAUCUGCACGCUGAUAUUAAAGUGAAUUUCUGGCAGUAAUCUCAUUGCUUUGUUUGAC
ensembl:lncRNA